rnacentral:rRNA from 1 species
CCUACGGGAGGCAGCAGUGAGGAAUAUUGGUCAAUGGGCGCAAGCCUGAACCAGCCAAGUAGCGUGAGGGAUGACGGCCCUACGGGUUGUAAACUUCUUUUAUCCGGGAAUAACGCGCCUUACGUGUAGCGUUUUGCGAGUACCGUAUGAAUAAGGAUCGGCUAAUUCCGUGCCAGCAGCCGCGGUAAUACGGAGGAUCCGGGCGUUAUCCGGAUUUAUUGGGUUUACAGGGUGCGUAGGCGGAAUGUCAAGUGAGCGGGAAAAGUUCGGGGCUCAACCCGGCCGUGCAGUGGCAACUGGCGUUCUUGAGUCAGCGAGAAGCAUGCGGAAUGCGUGGUGUAGCGGUGAAAUGCAUAGAUAUGACGAAGAACUCCGAUUGCGAAGGCAGCAUGCUGCAGCGGAACUGACGCUCAUGCACGAAAGCGCGGGUAUCGAACAGGAUUAGAUACCCGAGUAGUC